rnacentral:rRNA from 1 species
UUUAAUUGAAGAGUUUGAUCAUGGCUCAGAUUGAACGCUGGCGGCAGGCUUAACACAUGCAAGUCGAGCGGUAGCAC